GGACCUACGGGAGGCAGCAGUGGGGAAUAUUGCACAAUGGGGGAAACCCUGAUGCAGCGACGCCGCGUGAGUGAAGAAGUAUUUCGGUAUGUAAAGCUCUAUCAGCAGGGAAGAAGUUGACGGUACCUGAGCAAGAAGCCCCGGGUAACUACGGGCCAGCAGCCGCGGUAAUACGUAGGGGGCAAGCGUUAUCCGGAUUUACUGGGGGGAAAGGGAGCGUAGACGGCAGUGCAAGGCUGAAG
rnacentral:rRNA from 1 species